AUUGAACGCUGGCGGCAUGCCUUACACAUGCAAGUCGAACGGCAGCACGGGAGCAAUCCUGGUGGCGAGUGGCGAACGGGUGAGUAAUGUAUCGGAACGUGCCCAGUCGUGGGGGAUAACGCAGCGAAAGCUGUGCUAAUACCGCAUACGAUCUAUGGAUGAAAGCGGGGGAUCGCAAGACCUCGCGCGAUUGGAGCGGCCGAUAUCAGAUUAGGUAGUUGGUGGGGUAAAGGCCCACCAAGCCUGCGAUCUGUAGCUGGUCUGAGAGGACGAACAGCCACACUGGAACUGAGAACCGGCCCAGACUCCUACGGGAGGCAGCAGUGGGGAAUUUUGGACAAUGGGCGCAAGCCUGAUCCAGCAAUGCCGCGUGCAGGAUGAAGGCCUUCGGGUUGUAAACUGCUUUUGUACGAGACGAAAAGACUCGCUCUAAUACAGUGGGUACAUGACGGUAUCGUAAGAAUAAGCACCGGCUAACUACGUGCCAGCCGCCGCGGUAA
rnacentral:rRNA from 1 species